rnacentral:rRNA from 1 species
CACUGGGAGAACAUAACUCUCAGCAAUGCCUGCCCAGUGUGAUUAAAAAUCAUAAACGGCCGCCCUAGCGUGAGGGUGCUAAGGUAGCGAAAUUCCUUGCCUUUUAAUUGUAGGCCUGCAUGAAUGGCUUAACGAGGGCUUAACUGUCUCUGGUUUACAGGGUCUAAAUUGGAUUAAAGGUGAAGAUACCUUUAUAUAAAAGUCAGACAAGAAGACCCCGUGCAACUUUCAAAAUCGGUUUAUUGAGAAACUUUAAGAUUUUUAGGUGGGGCGCCUACUGAGUAAUACUAACCUCUGUGUAUGGAAAAAACUUUCAAGUAUAGACCCGGCAAUGCCGAUCAUAGGAGAAGUUACGCCGGGGAUAACAGGCUAAUUCACUAGUAGAGAACGUAUUGGCUAGUGGGAUUGGCACCUCGAUGUUGAAUCAGGGAUGAUACCUUUAAGGCGUAGAAGCUUUGAAAGUGGGUCUGUUCGACCUUUAAUACCCU